rnacentral:rRNA from 1 species
CGCUUGUCACUCCUACGGGAGGCAGCAGUGGGGAAUAUUGCACAAUGGGGGAAACCCUGAUGCAGCCAUGCCGCGUGUGUGAAGAAGGCCUUCGGGUUGUUAAAGCACUUUCAGUAGGGAGGAACGGUAGUGUAGUUAACACCUGCACUAUUUGACGUUACCUACAGAAGAAGCACCGGCUAACUCCGUGCCAGCAGCCGCGGUAAUACGGAGGGUGCGAGCGUUAAUCGGAAUUACUGGGCGUAAAGCGCAUGCAGGCGGCCUGUUAAGUCAGAUGUGAAAGCCCGGGGCUUAACCUCGGAAUUGCAUUUGAAAACUGGCAGGCUAGAGUCUUGUAGAGGGGGUAGAAUUUCAGGUGUAGCGGUGAAAAUGCGUAGAGAUCUGAAGGAAUACCAGUGGCGAAGGCGGCCCCCUGGACAAAGACUGACGCUCAGAUGCGAAAGCGUGGGGAGCAAACAGGAUUAGAUACCCUGGUAG